UAGGUCAAGACGAGGACAUCGUUCCACCGCUAUCAGAGACCUACCAUUGUGAGUCAUCGGGGAUUGACACUAGAGUUGUACCAAGGUUUGCCUGUCUGCCAAGACACCUGGGGUGGAGGCAAUCCAAGUUAAUGCUGAUGAAGGUGGAUUUACACAAACAUGUGGUGGCAUAUAUUGGGUGAUCUUCCCAGCUGGAUGCUGUCCCUUGCUCAUUCCUGAUAAAUUUUCUUUUUAUUGCCAGAAUGCAAAACUAUUAUUUUCAUGUGACAAAAUGCAUUUUUGGAACACGCCAAGCAUCCUUGACUUCCAUGUUACUAAGUUAUAAUGCGCCCACAU